ACACGACUACAUUAGAUACCCGGGUAGUCCUAGCCGUAAACGAUACUCGCUAGGUGUCGGCCACGGUGCGACCGUUGUCGGUGCCGUAGGGAAGCCGUGAAGCGAGCCACCUGGGAAGUACGGCCGCAAGGCCGAAACUUAAAGGAAUUGGCGGGGGAGCACAACAACGGGUGGAGCUUGCGGUUUAAUUGGAUUCAACGCCGGAAAUCUUACCGGGACCGACAGCAACAUGAAGGCCAAGCUGAAGACUUUGCCGGAUUAGCUG
rnacentral:rRNA from 1 species